AGAGAUCAUGGCUCAGAAUCAACGCUGGCGGCGUGCCUCAGACAUGCAAGUCGAACGAUUAAAGCUCCCUUCGGGGAGUGCAUAAAGUGGCGCACGGGUGAGUAACACGUAAGUAAUCUACCCUCGGGUGGGGAAUAACAUCGGGAAACCGAUGCUAAUACCGCAUAAUGCAGCGGCACCGCAAGGUGACAGUUGUUAAAGAUUUAUUGCCUGGGGAGGAGCUUGCGGCAGAUUAGCUUGUUGGUAAGGUAACGGCUUACCAAGGCUACGAUCUGUAUCCGGUCUAAGAGGACGGUCGGACACACUGACACUGAAUAACGGGUCAGACUCCUACGGGAGGCAGCAGUCGGGAAUUUUGGGCAAUGGGGGAAACCCUGACCCAGCAACGCCGCGUGAAGGAUGAAGUAUUUCGGUAUGUAAACUUCGAAAGAAUAGGAAGAAUUAAUGACGGUACUAUUUAUAAGGUCCGGCUAACUACGUGCCAGCAGCCGCGGUAAUACGUAGGGACCAAGCGUUGUUCGGAUUUACUGGGCGUAAAGGGCGCGUAGGCGGCGCGGUAAGUCACUUGUGAAAUCUCUGAGCUUAACUCAGAACGGCCAAGUGAUACUGCAGUGCUAGAGCGUGGAAGGGGCAAUCGGAAUUCUUGGUGUAGCGGUGAAAUGCGUAGAUAUCAAGAGGAACACCUGAGGUGAAGACGGGUUGCUGGGCCAACACUGACGCUGAGGCGCGAAAGCCAGGGGAGCAAACGGGAUUAGAUACCCCGGUAGUCCUGGCCCUAAACGAUGAAUACUUGGUGUCUGGAGUUUUAAUGCUCCGGGUGCCGUCGCUAACGUUUUUAGUAUUCCGCCUUGGGGAGUACGCUCGCAAGA
rnacentral:rRNA from 1 species